UUUGGCACUGCUCCCUGGCUGUGUUCUAGGU
rnacentral:piRNA from 1 species